rnacentral:rRNA from 1 species
GACGAACGCUGGCGGCGUGCUUAACACAUGCCAGUCGAACGGAAAGGCCCUGCUUUUGUGGGGUGCUCGAGUGGCGAACGGGUGAGUAACACGUGAGUAACCUGCCCUUGUCUUUGGGAUAACUUCAGGAAACUGGGGCUAAUACCGGAUAGGAGCUCCUGCUGCAUGGUGGGGGUUGGAAAGUUUCGGCGGUUGGGGAUGGACUCGCGGCUUAUCAGCUUGUUGGUGGGGUAGUGGCUUACCAAGGCUUAGACGGGUAGCCGGCCUGAGAGGGUGACCGGCCACAUUGGGACUGAGAUACGGACCAGACUCCUACGGGAGGCAGCAGGGGGGAAUAUUGCACAAUGGGCGGAAGCCUGAUGCAGCAACGCCGCGUGCGGGAUGACGGCCUUCGAGUUGUAAACCGCUUUCGCCUGUGACGAAGCGUGAGUGACGGUAAUGGGUAAAGAAGCACCGGCUAACUACGUG